GUCCUGCUGGCGCAAUGGUAGCGCGCCAGACUUCUAUCAUUGAUAUCUGGAGGUUGCGAGUUCGAGUCUCGCGUGGGAUG